GGACUACAGGGGUAUCUAAUCCCGUUUGCUCCCCUAGCUUUCGCGCCUCAGCGUCAGAAGAGGUCCAGUACGCCGCUUUCGCCACCGGCGUUCCUUCCGAUAUCAACGCAUUUCACCGCUCCACCGGAAGUUCCGCAUACCCCUACCUCCCUCGAGCUCAUCAGUAUCAAAGGCACUUCGACAGUUGAGCUGCCGGAUUUCACCCCUGACUUGAUAAGCCGCCUACGCGCCCUUUAUGCCCAGUGAUUCCGAACAACGUUCGCACGGUUCGUCUUACCGCGGCUGCUGGCAC
rnacentral:rRNA from 3 species